ACGAACGCUGGCGGCGUGCUUAACACAUGCAAGUCGAACGGAAAGGCCCUGCUUUUGUGGGGUGCUCGAGUGGCGAACGGGUGAGUAACACGUGAGUAACCUGCCCUUGACUUUGGGAUAACUUCAGGAAACUGGGGCUAAUACCGGAUAGGAGCUCCUGCUGCAUGGUGGGGGUUGGAAAGUUUCGGCGGUUGGGGAUGGACUCGCGGCUUAUCAGCUUGUUGGUGGGGUAGUGGCUUACCAAGGCUUUGACGGGUAGCCGGCCUGAGAGGGUGACCGGCCACAUUGGGACUGAGAGACGGCCCAGACUCCUACGGGAGGCAGCAGUGGGGAAUAUUGCACAAUGGGCGGAAGCCUGAUGCAGAAACGCCGCGUGCGGGAUGACGGCCUUCGGGUUGUAAACCGCUUUCGCCUGUGACGAAGCGGGAGUGACGGUAAUGGGUAAAGAAGCACCGGCUAACUACGUG
rnacentral:rRNA from 1 species